GAGUUUGAUUAUGGCUCAGGAUGAACGCUAGCGGGAGGCCUAACACAUGCAAGCCGAGCGGGAUUUGUUGGUUAGCUUGCUAACUAAUAAUGAGAGCGGCGUACGGGUGCGUAACACGUGUGCAACCUGCCUUUAUCUGGGGGAUAGCCUUUCGAAAGGAAGAUUAAUACCCCAUAAUAUAUUAAUUGGCAUCAAUUGAUAUUGAAAGCUCCGGCGGAUAGAGAUGGGCACGCGUAAGAUUAGCUAGUUGGUGAGGUAACGGCUCACCAAGGCUGCGAUCUUUAGGGGGCCUGAGAGGGUGAUCCCCCACACUGGUACUGAGACACGGACCAGACUCCUACGGGAGGCAGCAGUGAGGAAUAUUGGACAAUGGGUGAGAGCCUGAUCCAGCCAUCCCGCGUGAAGGACUAAGGACCUAUGGUUUGUAAACUUCUUUUAUACAGGGAUAAACCUACUCUCGUGAGGGUAGCUGAAGGUACUGUAUGAAUAAGCCCCGCA
rnacentral:rRNA from 1 species